UGGGGAAUAUUGCACAAUGGGGGAAACCCUGAUGCAGCGACGCCGCGUGAAGGAAGAAGUAUUUCGGUAUGUAAACUUCUAUCAGCAGGGAAGAAGAAAGUGACGGUACCUGACUAAGAAGCCCCGGCUAACUACGUGCCAGCAGCCGCGGUAAUACGUAGGGGGCAAGCGUUAUCCGGAUUUACUGGGUGUAAAGGGAGCGUAGGCGGCUGAGCAAGUCAGAAGUGAAAGCCCGCGGCUUAACUGCGGGAUUGCUUUUGAAACUGCCCAGCUUGAUUGCCGGAGAGGUAAGUGGAAUUCCUAGUGUAGCGGUGAAAUGCGUAGAUAUUAGGAGGAACACCAGUGGCGAAGGCGGCUUACUGGACGGUCAAUGACGCUGAGGCUCGAAAGCGUGGGGAGCAAACA
rnacentral:rRNA from 1 species